CAGGGGUCAUCAUGGUCACUUUGACCUGGCUGCGGCUGUGCAGUUCCAUAUGUAGUUCCAUAUCUGUGAUGCUUUAACACCUUUCUAUUGUGGCCAGCAUCCAGUUUUUCAGCCAUUUAGACUACAAUAGAUCUCCUGUGUGAUCGGACCAGACAGACUAGCCUUCGCGCCCCACAGGCAUCAAGGAGCUUUGGACGUGCAUGACCCUGACGCCGGUUCACUGGUUGUCCUUCCUAACCCACACCAUUUUUUUUUUUUUUUUCUUUUUUUUAGAUCUGAUCUAAUCAUCUAGCCAUCACUAUUUGGCCCUUGUUAAAGUCACUCUGAUCUUUUCACUUGCCAAUUUUCAUGCUUCCAUGAUAUUCAAGAAGUGACUGUUCACUUACUGCCUAAUAUAGGCCAUUGUAGCAAUAUAAUCAAUAUUAAAGGGGAGAGGGGAGGGGUUAGACCUUUCUUGCUUUGUUUUUACCCCACUUCUCUUUUCUGUCAAGCACUGUCAACCUUAGCUGCUAUUAGGAUUGUUUAGCCCUAUUUGGGGGCCUAUCUAUAUUAUUGUGUUUUUUUUCUCCAACACACAUUACCUUGAUCCUAUAAGCUAUCUGGUGACUAUAGUAUUUAAAAGAGUUUCAUCUUGGGCUUUAGUUCAGCCUUUGGCAGAUAUAGCUCGUAUAGCAAUCACAAUAUGUAUUCCCCAGGUACCACUGAUCACUCUGAGCCUAAUUUACCCUUCCUUGUUUGACAGCCUGUGGCUACCCUGUACAUAAUGGUUAAAGCUUUUUCCCCUCAAGUAUUAUUGUACUUACUUAAUUUUUUGUGGUUUAAGUUAUCUGUAGCUCAUGUUAUACAAUACAAGUUGCUUUUAUAUUUACUGCCUUAGCCUCCUGAAGUGCCUUCGUACACUUCAGGUGUUUCCUGUCUUGGUUCUAUAAGUUAUUAUUGUAAUAGGGUAUCUCCUUUAUUCAGGGAAGUGCAGUUACAAGCACCCCUCAGCGCUGUUGCUCAGCUGCCUCUUGUGGAUUUUUACUCUGGGCAGUGCACCAACAGAUCUGUUUUUUACUAUCGACUAUAAUCAAUAUUAUUCACUUCUCCGGUCAGUGGUUUUAAUGCUGUGGCUGACCAGUUUAGUUACAAAGCAGCCAUUUCAGUGUGGCACCUUCCCACACCAGCAUGCUCGCGCAUACAAGAUAAGUGACACAUACGUGCAUUCUCCCAAGCAUCCCAAUAUUGGAGGGACAGUUACUAUAUUGGGCCUAAAUUGGUUUGUGCCUCUUUUCUAUUUUGAUGUCCCUGUAGGUUCUCCAUUCUGUUGGUGUGUCUGAGUGUAUAACAGAGCUCCACAGGACUUCUUUUUUUUUCUGUGUUAUUAAACUACAAUAAAUAUGCUUAGAAAUAAGAUAUAUUGUUGUUGGUCUAAAUUACAAUUUAGUUACAUAGCUGAAAAGGGUUCAGCCUUCCUCACAUAUGUUUUUGAUGUUGAUCCAAAAGAAGGCAAAAAACUUCCAAUUUUGCAACAAACUAGGAAAAAAUUCAUUCUUGACCCCAAAAUGGCAGUCAGAUAUCUCCAUAGAUCAAGCAGCUGUUACCCCAUUAACCCCUUAAAGACGGAGCCAAAUGUACACAUUGUGAACGAAACAAAAUGUAAACAAAACCUGGCAUUUGCGCUACAUGUCUGUCCAACCGUAAUUCACCUCUUUCAUAG